UUUUUUUUUAUAGAUGUGACACCACCGCCGUCAAGUAGCCUCGUUUGUUCGUCUGUGUAUCACGGGCAGUGUAUAGAUACAUACAAGUUCCAGUGUAUGGGUUUAGCUAUUCCAGGGGUCUGUGGAAAUACAACAUCCCAACAUUUCAAAAGGUAACUGGUUGAAUAUUGUAAGUGUAAGAAACAGCAGAAAGACUAAAGUGUGGAGGAACACGUGACCUGAAAUGAUGCGCAACACAAAUAAAAUGGCGGCCACAGAGCCAAAUUUCACGGAAAAUGCGAGGAACGUUGCCCAAAGCGUACAAACUAUCUGAACACACAGGACGCCACGUGCCAUUUGUGUAGGAGUAGUUCUAGUUCAAAAUCAAGCAGUACAUGUCGAAACAAAGAAAGCGGAAAGUUAUACCUGUUCAGUUGGAUGUUCAUAUUGAGUCAUGUCAAGUGUAUGCAGUAUAGUCCUGUUCAAUAAGGUUGUUACUUCCCUUGCGUGGGUUGUCGUUAUUGAUAAAAACUACUUCCGGUGAGCAAAUAAAAUCAGAAAAUGGCGAUGAACGAACGAAUUGAUGGAUCGAUUGACUUUGACAAACAUUCAGUGCGUGAAAUGAGUGUUUAUUGAAGAGAUAGAGGUGCACAUGUGUCAGGAAAUAGGCCAUAAUUAAUAAAACGUGCUAAAAAACUUGUUAAAUUAGGUACGAAGCCACUUUGUGAAAUACAUAUCGAGGACGAUCAACGCUAUAUUAAACAACGACAAUUAGAACUUUUUUAAAUUUGUACUCCUCUUGGAGAGAAAAUACCUGAGCCCAAGACUUCUUUGUAUAGACUUUGAAGGGACAUUCUGUUGAAAGGAUCUAAUUUGCGUUUGGAAUGAAAUGUUGCCAAAAUUAAUUUCAUUCUACAAAGUAGCAUUCAUUUAAGAGUUGUUUUCAGAGCGUGUAACGGGGAAAAAGACUGAAUACUUGUCAAGAACCACUCACAUUUAAAUGUUAAAUUUCACUACGUCUUUCUUCAGUGACUUGUUACUAAAUACUUAACUGUUUAACUUUUGGAACUAUUUCUGUGUGAA
rnacentral:lncRNA from 1 species